rfam:NL63-related bat coronavirus strain BtKYNL63-9a, complete genome.
CUUUGUGUCUACUCUUCUCAACUAAACGAAAUUUUUCUAGUGCUGGUAUGUAUAAUGCCAGUACUGGUGUAAUUGAAAUUUCGCCAGGUUCGUAAAGUGGUUAGGCAAGUGUUGUGUGCCCUGUGUUUAAGUACUGGUGGUUCCGUCCACUGGUGCACUCGCUUGGCACCUAAGCAGUGUUCCGUCAUUGCUUAGUGUGGAAACAACGUUCUGUCGUUGUGGAAACCAAUAACUGCUAACCAUGUCCUACAACCAAGUGACACUUGCGG